UUUACCAAUAUGUCAAAAUCUGCCAAAAGUACGUGGUUGUCUUCUAUGUUAUAAAGUUAGCAAAACCUCCGAGUCCAGUCUAUUGAUGAGUCUAUUGAUGAGUCUAUGACAGUCUAUGAUAGCUAGCUCAAAAUACAUGUCUAUACCCAUUGAUAAGUGUCGUGAAAAUCUAUUAACACAGCACCGUUAUUUCUUCUGACCGCCAAACCAACGCUAGCAUAGUGCUCCAUCUAGCGCUACCAACAGUGACCGCGGCGGGCCAGAAUUACACAGAAGACAUGACUUACCUUUAACGUUACUUUAUUCAAUGCAGAACUUUCCAGUUGUAACUGGAAAUGCCGAUUAGACCAUCUCGUCGUAAUACAAAUCCAAAAUAUUAAUAAUCCUCGAGCAGGGCUGCGAUAUGCAUGCCAUAGUUUUGUUCUCCAUUGUGUUUGUUUUCAGAAAUGAUAACAGUUGUUUUAUACUAGUGCUUAUGCGAAAUCACAAUUUUUGAUGAUCUUCUCCAAGAUCUGCUUUUGAGGAAAACAUUUCAUUGGCGUUCUGUUCUGCACCAUGAGCACGUUUGCCUACAACCAAAGCGCGCGCACUAUUAUACAGCGCCUGACAACCAGGCCUGGCGUCUGGGAGGGGAGGGGAGGGGUGGCAUAGCCCACAUACCGGUACUUCAUAAUAGAAACAACUUGCGGCACGAAUGUACCAAUACAAAUAAAUAUAACAUCUCCAGUUAUUUAGCUGAGCAUCAAUUGUAGGUUACAAUAAGUUUAAUUUAAUAAGAGGCGAUCUAGAGUUGAAAUGUUUUAUUUUUUAUAAUUUUUUUAUCAAGUGAUCAACGUGUUUGUUGUCGCUGCGGUCAGUGGCCCGGAUGCUGUGUACAGUCUGCACUGUAUAAGGUCUGCACUCGGACACGCGCUUCAAUCCGUUGUGGAGACGGUCUAUUCGUUCCGGUGAAAUUACUAAACAUAAAUAUACACAAACGUAUCCCUGUCUGAUAUACAACAACUGAUAAACAUAAUCAGUUUUGACAAAUAAAUAAAAAAAAAAACAUACGAGUGUGGGUUAAAACCCAAACCCGGACCUCUGACACGCUAGGCAAAAGUUCUACCACUGAAACAUUUGAGCUGACAAACAGAUAUAUUGUAGCUUGAUAUUCACUAUAGGAAGAAAGUGCAGCAUAAAAAAAGCAUAUGUUAGCAUUAAAAUCCCUUUAACAUUUAUGGUGAUCUGAGGGGGCGGGGGAGUCCAGUUAAUGGGGCGUAAUUCAUUAGCUUUAAUGAGAAUUGUAUAUUUUAUAGGCCUACAUUAAAGUGUAUUUCGUUUGUUAUAUUUUACAUUUAUUUCUUGAAUGCUACUAUUACAUCAACUGUAGCUGUAUUUAAUUUGUAUAUUAUGUUGUUUAUAUGAAACUUUCUUUGUUUUUAUAUUUUUAAUAACAGAUUGGUUACCUGAGUACGAAUGUAUAAAGUACAGUCACACUGUAUGAUUGUGAAUUUUUGUCUUUUCUGUUCUUUUACAGAUCACUAUUGCACACCAAAUGCUCUUACUCAACAGAUGGGGACAGCUACCGUCACCCAAUUUUCUUUCGCACAAGCUGUGCAAAAGUGGCUGCGCUAUGCGCCAGACCGGGCAGGAGGGACUGGACGACAACUUAUGCAGGCAUCAGAUGACAAUGAAGUGUAAAUAAAGAGUAGAGAGGCUAAUAAACAUGAAUUUGAUUUUAAA